rnacentral:lncRNA from 1 species
GUUUAUUCAUUAUAGUUUUCCUCACAUUGCUAAUUGUGGUCUGUAAUAGAGGGGGUGGUAGUUCAGGUCCAAUUUCAGGUAUUGGUUGUUCUCAAUUCAAAAAUUGUUCUUCUGGCCAAUUUUUUGCCUCAACCGAUUUUUUAAAUAAUUAUGAAUUAAAGAAAAUGUUUUUCAAAUUUUUUUAACAGAAAUUUCAGAGGAUCUUGCAGUGCGAUUUAAUGGGAAUGAAUACAUUGAGUAUGUCAUCAAGGAAAGCUUUAAGAGAGACUAUUUGCUGAAACACUUGCAUGAUGAAAAAGAGGGUAACACCAGGGGCCAAACAGUAAUUAAUAUCAGGUUCAAGACUAAAGAUAAUGGAGUGUUGAUAUUUGUUCUCAGACAGAAAGGAUAUUUCAUGCUUAAGGUAGGUGUAAAACAUUUUUAUAGAAAUAUUUACACAUAUUCUAUUCAUGUUUGGAGUGUAAAACUAUUUUUUCUAAUUCAGAUAAAGGACAAAAGGCCUGUGUAUGUUUCCAAAGAUACUCUGUUGGGACACAUGCUAGAGUUUACUGUGGACUCUCCAGUAACAGAUGGGGUUUGGCAUGUCCUCUCCUUGUUCAGCAAUGGACAGAUUGCUUUUCUCCAUCUGGAUGGUAAACCCGUCUUGAAUAUCACUGACCAAAAUAUGGAGCUAAAGCCUGUUACUGUUGAAAGGAUUGUUCUUGGUGCAACUCUGACAGGUGACUCAAAGCUCCAGCAAUCAGGGUUCACUGGAUGUGUGCAUUAUUUUAAUGUGACUGGUUACAAUCUGCUUGUCAGCGAACCCAGCAUAAUGGCAGAUAUCUGGCCGAGCCCAACUCUCAUGCAGUCCAGCUGCAGAUCUCCAGAUGUCUGCUUCCCCUCACCCUGCUCUGAAGAAGACACUUCCAAGAGGGGUUGUCUUUAUGCACCAUGUCAAAACCAGUGGAG